UACGUAGGGUGCAAGCGUUGCCCGGAUUUAUUGGGCGUAAAGGGCGCGUAGGCGGCUACGCACGUCCGUUGUGAAAUCGCCCGGCUCAACUGGGCGGGGUCGGCGGAUACGGCGUAGCUUGAGCAAGCUAGGGGGCAAUGGAAUUCCCGGUGUAGUGGUGGAAUGCGUAGAUAUUGGGAGGAACACCAGUGGCGAAGGCGGCUCACUGGACCGGUACUGACGCUGAGGCGCGAAAGCGUGGGGAG
rnacentral:rRNA from 1 species